UGGGAUGUAGCUCAGUGGUAGAGCACUUGUCUUAACAUGUGAGGCCCUAGGUUCAAUCUCUAGCAUCACAA
rnacentral:tRNA from 1 species